rnacentral:rRNA from 1 species
GCCUAAAGCGUCCGUAGCCGGCUCUGUAAGUUUUCGGUUAAAUCCAUAUGCUCAACAUAUGGGCCGCCGGGAAUACUGCAUAGCUAGGGAGUGGGAGAGGUAGACGGUAUUCGGUAGGAAGGGGUAAAAUCCUUUGAUCUAUUGAGGACCACCUGUGGCGAAGGCGGUCUACCAGAACACGUUCGACGGUGAGGGAUGAAAGCUGGGGGAGCAAACCGGAUUAGAUACCCGGGUAGUCCCAGCCGUAAACGAUGCAGACUCGGUGAUGCGCUGGCUUGUGGCCAGUGCAGUGCCGCAGGGAAGCCGUUAAGUUUGCCGCCUGGGAAGUACGUACGCAAGUAUGAAACUUAAAGGAAUUGGCGGGGGAGCACCACAAGGGGUGAAGCCUGCGGUUCAAUUGGAGUCAACGCCAGAAAUCUUACCCGAAGAGACAGCAGAAUGAAGGUCAAGCUGGAGACUUUACCAGACAAGCUGAGAAGUGGUGCAUGGCCGUCGCCAGCUCGUGCCGUGAGAUGUCCUGUUAAGUCAGGUAACGAGCGAGAUCCCUGCCUCUAGUUGCCACCAUUACUCUCAGGAGUAGUGGGGCGAAUUAGCGGGACCGCCGCAGUUAAUGCGGAGGAAGGAAGGGGCCACGGCAGGUCAGUAUGCCCCGAA